rnacentral:misc_RNA from 1 species
AAUAAUUCAACCAAUAAAAAAAAAAAGUAUACCCUUCCCAUGAUUGUUCAUGUUAAGGCCAGAAAUAUUGUGUAUAUAAGAUUUAGAGCUUAUAAUAUAAUUCCAUGAUUUCAUCUAUAAGAUGUCUACUUAUAAACUAAGACAAUAACAUAAAUGAACGGUGAAAUAUAAACUCCAUCGUUAGCCAAAUAUUGGUAGGGAUAUCUCUUGUACUUGGGAAUCAAUAGUACCAUCAUAUGUUACUUGCGGGCUUCCGACUUCUUCUGUUCUUUGGCAGCUUUCUCCUCCUCUCGCUUUUUGGCAGCAUCUGCUCUUUGUUGUCGUAUGAGAGCCAAGCGUUCUAAAUCUUUCUUAGCUUGAUCUGUUUUUCCUUGUUCUUGCAACCUCAUAUACCUCUCAUGAGCUUGUUGUUUCUCUAUCUCUUCCCUUUCACGUCUUGAAAGCUCAGUUGUUUUCUCAAUAUCAACAUUUCUAGCUUUCACGUUCUUUGGCUUCACCAAAUUGGGGUUCUCAAUCUCAAUGAUACCCUGGGUACCUUUCCGCCUCUCUCCAUCAGAAUCUUCUUCAG